GAUGAACGCUGGCGGCGUGCCUAAUACAUGCCAGUCGAGCGAACAGACGAGGAGCUUGCUCCUCUGACGUUAGCGGCGGACGGGUGAGUAACACGUGGAUAACCUACCUAUAAGACUGGGAUAACUUCGGGAAACCGGAGCUAAUACCGGAUAAUAUAUUGAACCGCAUGGUUCAAUAGUGAAAGACGGUUUUGCUGUCACUUAUAGAUGGAUCCGCGCCGCAUUAGCUAGUUGGUAAGGUAACGGCUUACCAAGGCAACGAUGCGUAGCCGACCUGGGAGGGUGAUCAGCCACACUGGAACUGAGACACGGUCCAGACUCCUACGGGAGGCAGCAGUAGGGAAUCUUCCGCAAUGGGCGAAAGCCUGACGGAGCAACGCCGCGUGAGUGAUGAAGGUCUUCGGAUCGUAAAACUCUGUUAUUAGGGAAGAACAAAUGUGUAAGUAACUAUGCACGUCUUGACGGUACCUAAUCAGAAAGCCACGGCUAACUACGUG
rnacentral:rRNA from 1 species